rnacentral:rRNA from 1 species
AUUGAACGUUGGCGGCAGGCCUAACACAUGCAAGUCGAGCGGAUGAAGGGAGCUUGCUCCUGGAUUCAGCGGCGGACGGGUGGGUAAUGCCUAGGAAUCUGCCAGGUAGUGGGGGAUAACGUCCGGAAACGGGCGCUAAUACCGCAUACGUCCUGAGGGAGAAAGUGGGGGAUCUUCGGACCUCACGCUAUCAGAUGAGCCUAGGUCGGAUUAGCUAGUUGGUGGGGUAAAUGCCUACCAAGGCGACGAUCCGUAACUGGUCUGAGAGGAUGAUCAGUCACACUGGAACUGAGACACGGUCCAGACUCCUACGGGAGGCAGCAGUGGGGAAUAUUGGACAAUGGGCGAAAGCCUGAUCCAGCCAUGCCGCGUGUGUGAAGAAGGUCUUCGGAUUGUAAAGCACUUUAAGUUGGGAGGAAGGGCAGUAAGUUAAUACCUUGCUGUUUUGACGUUACCAACAGAAUAAGCACCGGCUAACUUCGUG